AUUUCUCUGAGAUCUUAUAAUUGUGCUUAGGGGAAAGAUGGGAAGUAGGGAAUAACCAGGAUAAUAUUCCCAUAAUCACAUAGUCCAGACAAAUUCCUGAGCCAACAGUAAGCUCAGGUACCACAGGUGGAACAAGUCCUAAGAAAUGAUCACCAGCAAUCUAAUUGGGCAGUUGAACAGCUGGAUAGCAGAAGGUUAAGAUGCAGAAAUGUAUUGAAUUCAAGGAAAUAUCAUAAGGAUUAAUACAGCAUUUAUUAUAAUUUACAUUGGCUCCGGUUCACAGGAACGAAUCCAUUUUGAAUGAAACAUUAAAACCUUUUAGUGGUAAUGGCUAUUUGUAGAAAGAGUAUGGGAGUAUCAGAAAUUACCCUGGGCACAGGGUGUAUUUGGAGAGUUUUAUUGGUCCUAUUCCAGCAGCAACCAGAGCAAGUUUUUUUUUUUUUUUGCAUCCUCAGACUUCAAAAGUCUUCCUAGAGGAGGAACACAGGCAUUGUGGGUGUCCCAGGAGAACUGAUCCAACCACUUCAAGAUAUAAAGUUUCUUCAUGAACAGAAGGAAUAGUUUAAGAGGAGAGUUGUAUUUUUAUCCCUGGAUUUUUUUUUUUUUAAUUUUAUUUUAUUUUUAAACUUUACAUAAUUGUAUUAGUUUUGCCAAAUAUCAAAAUGAAUCUGCCACAGGUAUACAUGUGUUCCCCUGAACCCUCCACCCUCUUACCUCCCCGUACCAUCCCUCUGGGUCGUCCCAGUGCACUAGCCCCAAGCAUCCAGUAUCGUGCAUCGAACCUGGACUGGCAACUCAUUUCUUACAUGAUAUUUUACAUGUUUCAAUGCCAUUCUCCCAAAUCCUCCCACCCUCUCCCUCUCCCACAGAGUCCAUAAGACUGUUCUAUACAUCAGUGUCUCUUUUGCUGUCUUGUACACAGGGUUAUUGUUACCAUCUUUCUAAAUUCCAUAUAUAUGCGUUAGUAUACUGUAUUGGUGUUUUUCCUUCUGGCUUACUUCA
ensembl:lncRNA